rfam:Felis catus isolate Cinnamon breed Abyssinian chromosome B4, whole genome shotgun sequence.
GCCUUGGUGGCUCAGUUGGUUAAGCAUCUGACUUCAGCUCAGGUCAUGAUCUCACAGUCCGUGGGUUCGCGCCCCACAUCGGGCU